UCUCGAUUGGUCUAGUGGUCAGGAUACCUGCUUGUCAUCUGGAUAACUAUUCCUAUGGCAAACCGCAGGUGGCCGGGGUUCGAUUCCCCGAUCGAGAG